rnacentral:rRNA from 1 species
AGGACGAACGCUGGCGGCGUGCUUAACACAUGCAAGUCGAGCGGUAAGGCCUUUCGGGGUACACGAGCGGCGAACGGGUGAGUAACACGUGGGUGAUCUGCCCUGCACUUCGGGAUAAGCCUGGGAAACUGGGUCUAAUACCGGAUAUGACCUCCUAUCGCAUGGUGGGUGGUGGAAAGUAUUUA